AAGACACUCUACCACCAGUAAAAAGCAUACAUAUUAACUUAUGACAAACCAAAGGUAAUUUAUCCAAAGCAAUUAAAAACUCUUUGAAGGUGAUCAACAUUGACAAGCUAAUUGCGGCCUGUCAAUACGCCAUUGCUUUAACGUCGGAAUAUUAAUUGCAUGAACCAAUCGCGUGUUCACGGUGUUACAUCGAUUAACCCCCUUUCUAUGGAAUAUUGCUUUGAGGUCGGCCUGCAUUAUGGACGUGCAGGGUUCAAAUAAUAAAACUCGAAUGACGUCAAUUGAUUGACAAAGGCGUAUUAUUAUCCUGUUUAAUCUGAGAGACAAAAGACUAAAUUAAACUUAGACUGUUUUGAAAUUAAACGAAAGACAACUGCAGAUGUUGUGCAGCGGCAAGAGUAUGUUUGUGAUGCAACAUUUGCGUCAUGUGUUUUCAAUGUUUUGAACAACGGCGCUUGGGUUCUGUGAAAAUAUAAAAUAAUCGUAAUACGGAAAAGACAACAAAAUUAACAAAUGGAAAAUAGUAGCGGUUUGUGGAAAAAUCAGAUAAGAACGAGUUUAAAUGCUGAUCUUAAUGAAUAGCAGACACGUCAUUUUAAAAUUCGUAUUUUUUGUUUAAAUUAUUUGACGACCACAACUUUUAUUUAUAUUCCAAAAUGUAUGGAAUUGUAGAUAUUUCUGAACAUAACAUUGAACAGACAAAGGUUCUGGCUCCAGCUAAGAAUCGAGCCGACUCCUGGUGUCUACAGUACUUAUUAAUUUACUACAAACUCGACAAAUCAGGCGAUCAAGGACCCCUUAAAUGCAAUGUACUACAUACAAUGUACAAUAAAAUCAAAUCCACAAAAUUUUUAUUUGCGUAAUUACUGGUGGUAGGACCUCUUAUCAGUCCGCACUGGUAGUUACCACCACUCUGCCUGUUUCUGCCGUGAAGCAGUAAUGCGCUUCGGUUCGAAAGGUGGGGUAGCCGUUGUAAGUAUGCUGAGACCUUAGAACUCAUAUCUCAAGGUGGGUGGCGGCAUUUACGUUGAAAAUGUCUAUGGGCUCCGGUAACCACUUACACCAGGUGGGCUGUGAGCUCGUCCACCCAUCUAUGCAAUAAAAAAACCUACAUCACUUACUCUGUUUGUGAGACUGAAUAUUCAACAUUUACAGUAAAAAUGAGUCGAAUAUACUCGUAAUAUUUCGUUUUCUCUGAAAAUAUUAUUUCCAAGAAAUUCGUUCUUUAGACGUUCCCUUCAAUACUUCAUUGUGACUCAGAAAAUUCUCAGACAUUACGAUAGGUAAUUGACAGAAGGAAAUAAGUCUCCACUAGCCAGGUUUAUAAGUCACAACAAAUCACAUGUAAGUGCUUUUUUUAAUUUACUAUGCAGAAAAGGUUUUUCUAUCGAAACCGUAUAAAUAACUUUUAUUUAUCGCAACGGAUAUGUCCGUCAAAGUGUCUCCGGUAAAUAUGUUCUGAGAAAGGAAAAUGCAGAGAGCUUUUUCGUCGCUCGAAACUUCAGCGGGCUUUUUUGUUUCGUUACUAAUGGACAGAAUGAAAACGAUGCUUUUUUAUUUUUCUUUGUAUAACUGUGUAAUAAAAGGAGUGGGUUAUUUUGUAUACAGCGCUCUUGUUUACGUAGCCAUUUGCAAUGCAUUCGCUGGUAAAAAAAAUGGAUCUUAUGAUUGUUAGUCAUUUCAAAACUAUAAGCACUUGUACUGGAUAUUUCGCAGAAUAAUUGACCUUCUAUGUUCGCAUUGAAGUAUGUUCUUUUUCUUAUUAUAUAUAAAUUCUAGGAAAUUGUGGCGAAUAAAAUCGAAAAGACUUUUAUAGUGAAUGUA